rnacentral:lncRNA from 1 species
GCAAAUGGGCAUUUCCAUGUGACUGUAUUGUGCUCAGUGCAGUGUCUACCUGUGUUGCAGAAUGAGCUCCAUGGCAUUGCAAAGAAUGCACCAAAGUAAGUAGUGCAGGAAAGCAUUUUUUCCAGUUAGAAUGUUGGCCUUCCAAAGCAGGCCUGCCUUGGUUGCACUGGCUUGCAUCUCAGCUGGUGUUCUGUUGUCAGGGUUCCCGUAUUUCUAGCGGUUGGCAGGGAGGUGACUCAUGCCAUCGUAAGGCCGUGGCGAUGUGCCGGUAAGAAUGUCCCAUGUCAAGUAAAAGAUGGCUGUGUGAGACGAGGGGAAGCCAUGGCCUGACAGCUGCCCUUCUGGUCAGCAGUGGGAUUCUGCGGGGUGCAUUAGAAGGCCAUUUCUCUGUAAUGCUUUCUCUGUUGGUUCCAGUCAAGAUGUGGCCGUUGUAUGAAGUAAGUUUGUGGUUGCUGUGAAGCUGGGAGGAAUGUUGACUGCCUUGGGGGUUGAGAGGCCUUGCAGCAAGAUGUGGAGAAAUGUGAGGGUGGUCCCCAUCUGCAUGAAGAAGAGCAAGCGCUGCGUUCUGCACCUGGGAUGCGGCAGCCCUGGCUAAUGUCUGCGUGUGGAUGAAUUGCAACAGGAUCCUGGGAACUUUUAGGAAAGGUAGGAAGGAGGACCCGGGGAACUACAGGCCGGUGAGCCUCACCUCUGUGCCUGGGAAGAUCAUGGAGCAGAUCCUCCUACAAGAGGAAGAAACUUACAGGAGAAAAAAACUACAGGAAAGAUUGCUUCACGUGUAAUGAAAAGCUAGUGUCCAGAAGAUCACUGCGGCCAGAUGCCAAUUUUGAUGCCCUCGUCAGUAAGACUUGUCCAAGCCCUGAUGUAUGUGAAGCUCAUCAGGAGGGAAUGCUAGCAAGAAUCAGCUAACACAAUAGCAGCAAGCUUUCAGUGACAGCGUUCAGGAAGGGUGAUGAUUCAGGCUGGGACCAGAUACCUUGGUGUCACUGGAAUCCAUGGAGCUGACACAGUCCUCUGAUGGCUGGAUUUCUGCUUGCUAAGGGUAUUCCUUCUGGUUUCUUGGCUUUUCAGGUG